rnacentral:rRNA from 1 species
AAUCAACGCUGGCGGCGUGCCUCAGACAUGCAAGUCGAACGAUUAAACUUUCCUUCGGGAAAGAUAUAAAGUGGCGCACGGGUGAGUAACACGUAAGUAAUCUACCUUCGAGUGGGGAAUAACAUCGGGAAACCGAUGCUAAUACCGCAUAAUGCAGCGGCAUCGCAAGAUGACAGUUGUUAAAGGAGCAAUCCGCUUGAAGAGGAGCUUGCGGCAGAUUAGCUAGUUGGUAAGGUAAUGGCUUACCAAGGCUUCGAUCUGUAUCCGGCCUGAGAGGGCGGUCGGACACACUGACACUGAAUAACGGGUCAGACUCCUACGGGAGGCAGCAGUCGGGAAUUUUGGGCAAUGGGCGAAAGCCUGACCCAGCAACGCCGCGUGAAGGAUGAAGUAUUUCGGUAUGUAAGCUUCGAAAGAAUGGGAAGAAUCAAUGACGGUACCAUUUAUAAGCCCCGGCUAACUACGUGCCAGCAGCCGCGGUAAGAC